rnacentral:rRNA from 1 species
UACGGAGGGUGCAAGCGUUAAUCGGAAUUACUGGGCGUAAAGCGUGCGUAGACGGUCAAGUAAGUCGGGUGUGAAAGCCCCGGGCUCAACCUGGGAAUUGCAUUCGAGACUGCGUGGCUAGGGUGCGGAAGAGGGAAGCGGAAUUUCCGGUGUAGCGGUGAAAUGCGUAGAUAUCGGAAGGAACACCAGUGGCGAAAGCGGCUUCCUGGUCCAGCACCGACGUUCAGGCACGAAAGCGUGGGGAGCAAACAGG